CGUGAUUUGUGAACGCCUGGAGAUGGAGAAGUGGAGGCCAUCCGAAAAGGGAGCGAAUAAAUGAGACUUUGUAUGAGGUCCAUAGAGAUAACUCAAAGCGAGAGCGAGCCGGUGUUUUUCCAGCUGAAUAGAGUUCUGCCAGACAGCACUUUGCAGGCAGGUUUUGAUGUGAUGAAAACAUCUAUUCAGGAUUCUGAAAGCAUUGUGCCUGGGGAAGGUGAGCAGCACCAAGCCGUGCCCCUGCCCUUGCUCAGAUCCUGCAUUAUUUUGAGCAUCGAGGACUGCAAAGGGCUGAAAGUCACAGCUGUGAUUUGUUUUCCCCUUUCUUUCCACGUUGAGCAUCCUCGCUCACACAGCCGCCUGCAUCCUCAGCUACACCACACUCCCAACCCACAGGGAAUGAUACAGAAAGAUGCAGGGAAUAUUCCAGGGCUGGAAAUGAUGGCUCACACAGAGAUGGGCAGGGGGUGGCAGGUCCUCACAGCCCCCCCAGCUGACAUCUUCAGGGGGAGGUCGGGCACGGAAACAGCACAGCACAGCCAAAGUAUGCGGUGGUGCCGGCGGCCCAGGUUUUCAAGACGCAGAGUUAAGUGAAGCCUCCUGACUGCCUGCAUUAGGAGAAGCGGGGAGUCUUCCUGUGGGAGCUGGCAGUGCUGGGCAUUGGUCCCUGGGCUGGAGUGGAAGUGGGUUUUGAAGUCCUCACUACUGAUGAGGGAAGAAGUAAUGGUGGAAAACAGCAAGGAUCACCCAACGGCAUGGAAAGCCAAGCACCUCCCACCUCCAGACUUCAUCAAAUGCAGCACGUGGACCUUGAGUUUGCAUUCAGGCCUCUACGUCAGCCUGGAGACACGCAGAGCCAUGGGUCUCAGCUGCCUGGAUGAGGAUCUAAAGCAGCAUGGCCACAUUUAUGGGACCACCAGAGCGCAUUACAAGGGCAGAGCUUUGCACCAUCGUGAUGCAAGGAAGAGAUGAGCCCUUUGUGUGAACAGGGAUGCUGCAGACACGAGCAGACCCUGUGCUGCUCUCCAACUCCCUUGCACUACCACACACCAAUAUAAACGUGUUUUUUUUCCCUAAUUCCUUCCUUGCACUCUCUUAUUAUAGGACAGAAGGCUAUCUUCACUGUGAUUAAUUAAAAUGCCCACAUUUGCAGGGUUAAUGGCAUAAAAAGCUUUAGAUUCUGCUGUUCUGAAAACAAAUCUCCAUCUCCACGGCCCCCUGAAGCUCCUCAGCUCAACCAGCACUUCGGUCCCCCUGAAUAAUUCAUGUCCUUUCCCAGGGACAUUAUUUUUCUUCUUCCCACAAAGGCAGCCUAUGUAUACACCUGCUUGUUCUUGAUUGUUAAUGAAUAAUGCUGAAUUA
ensembl:lncRNA